rnacentral:misc_RNA from 1 species
AACGCAUAUUGCGCCCCUUGGCAUUCCGGGGGGCACACCUGUUCGAGCGCCAUUUUGACCCUCAAGCAUAGCUUGGUGUUGGGCAUGGUCCCGGGGGACUUGCCCGUAACUCGUAGGCGGCUGCCGCCCGUGCCCCCAGCGUAGCAAGCUCAAGCGUUCGCUCAGGGACGGUGCGUCUGGCCCGCCAGGCAAAACCAAAACCCUUCCCAAGGUUUGGCCUCGGAUCAGGUGGGGAUACCCGCUGAACUUAA